GACGAACGCUGGCGGCGUGCUUAACACAUGCAAGUCGAACGCUGAAGGCCUGGCUUUUGUUGGGUUGGAUGAGUGGCGAACGGGUGAGUAACACGUGAGUAACCUGCCCUCUUCUUUGGGAUAACGCCCGGAAACGGGUGCUAAUACUGGAUAUUCACUGAUCUUCGCAUGGGGGUUGGUGGAAAGGUUUGUUCUGGUGGGGGAUGGGCUCGCUGCCUAUCAGCUUGUUGGUGGGGUGAUGGCCUACCAAGGCAUUGACGGGUAGCCGGCCUGAGGGGGUGACCGGGGACGUUGAGACGGCGCUACGGCCCAGAGGACGCAGGGAGGGGGCAGUGGGGGAUAUUGCACAAUGGGCGAAAGAGGGAUGCAGCGACGGCGCGUGAGGGAUGGGGGUCGUCGGGUUGUAAUCGUCUUUCGCGAAGGGUCAAGCCGCAACAGGCUGUUGUGGUGAGGGUAGUGAGUAAAGAAGCGCCGGCUAACUACGUG
rnacentral:rRNA from 1 species